UAGGGAAUCUUCCACAAUGGGCGAAAGCCUGAUGGAGCAACGCCGCGUGUGUGAUGAAGGCUUUCGGGUCGUAAAGCACUGUUGUAUGGGAAGAACAGCUAGAAUAGGAAAUGAUUUUAGUUUGACGGUACCAUACCAGAAAGGGACGGCUGAAUACGUGCC
rnacentral:rRNA from 1 species